CCGGUCAUCGCCACCUCCGGGCAGGGGCCGGCGCCCCGCCGAGCAGUGCUCGGCUUUGUUCUCCCCGCCCGAGCAGGAGGCACCAUUAGAAAUAAAUGUAACGAUUACCCAGCUUUUUUUUUUUUUUUUUGCUUUUUUUUUUUCUUAACUGUUGUCAUUGUGCACAGGAAAUAGGACGUUCUAGAUUUCCUGUCAUUUUAAACCACAAACCAGCAGUUCUCUAAUGCAGAUUAGCGAAAUUCACACAGACUAAGCACACGCCGUCUCGUUCCCAAAAAUGAAAAACCUGUUUCCCCGACCCCCUUCCACGCUGUGAAUCGCUCAUCCGCCUCCUGCAUCCUCACUGAAACACAGGGUGGGGGCAAGGGAGGGAGCAAGAGAGGGUGUUCGCUCUCCUCGCUUGCCACGGGAGGUGAAGCAAACCCUCACCGGGCACAUCCCGGCACGUACGGUCGGUCGCCUGCACGCCUUUGCCCGUGCAGGGUGAACACGGAGGAGGCUGCUCCCGCCGACAGCCGCGCUCCAGCCGCCCUUCCCACGGCGUUAUGACUUACUUUCUCUCCAGCAUUCUUCAGUUUCCUACAAGGUCCUUGGAAGAGGGCUGACAUCCUGCAGGACAAAUCUGGGUCUCACUGCCAGAGAGCUACGGCUGAUUGCUAACGUGUCAUGUCAAGUACAGGCUAUGGUGUGGUGGACUGGAGGCUUUGAGAGAACGGCGUGCAAGCACAGAGCUUUAACACAUCUUAAAAGGAAAGAAAGAAGAGAUUCAUGAUGCCAACAUCUUCAACUCCUUUACAGGGUCUCUGAUUUUCGCUCCCUGACCUGCAUUCCUUGCUGUAAAAGCUCCCCAUUCCCACGAUUUAAGCACAUGCCAAAACAAGCUGCCAAUUACACUGGUCUUAGUGCAAGGUGGCUCCGAAGACACUGCCUGUGAGCAGAAUCUAGCCCUCCAUAGCAAAGAGGUUGCUGUGCAAACUCAGAGAUGAGCAGUAUUUCCUGACUUAUGACAUCUCAGCCAUUUUUCUCCCUCAUCUUUCUCCCUCACUCCAGAGCAGGAGCACAGCUUUGCAAGCCACAAGUCCCUGCAGCAAGGUCCACACACGCGCCAGUUGUUGGGAUUCAGUUCCUGUGGUUUUCAGGAAGGACCACAGACUGGAAAAAUCACUGGGCUGUGAACAGUGGACCCCUCUGCUAAUGAGAGCUCAUGAAGGACGCAUUCAUUUCCCCUUCACUGAGAGGCCCUGGCAAAGCUGUGGAAGGUGACUUCAGGCAAGCCACAGAGCAUGGCUUUUUGACCCCGGAUGCACUGCAUCCAUCUAGUUCACUGCUCCUCUGAUUCAGACCCAGCUUCAAGCAUUGAGGGAUUUUCCCAAGAAUGUGGAAUUUUUAUGGCUCUGUCACAUUUUGCGACAAGCUUCCAGAUUGUCUAAGAUCCCCCUGUCAAGUUCAAUUUUUCAGGCUCUUUGUGCAAAAGUGAUACCUAAUGGAGGAGCCUCUCCAGUGUGUGCACAAGCAAGGAGUAAAGAAUACACAACAUACAACCCAUAAAUAGAGAUGCUUUGGAGGCUUUUUAAACAUUCAUGCUUUUUGCAUAAUUGAUAACUUUCCAUAACAGAUACAGAUGAUAAACAGCUUCAAAUAAAAUGAAAAUUUAUCGUUGUCAUAUCAUUUAUCAGCAUUAUGUUAAACUGUAAAGUAUGGGAAGAAUAUCGCCAUGUUCUCAAAUGAAACUGGUGGAAGUGAGAAUAAUUCAGGAGCUGCAUCUUUGCAUUCAUCAGGCUUUUUGAUGAGAUUGCCAGCAGCCAAGAAGCUGUGCUAGAAUCUAGGAGCCAGAGAAAGAAUUGUGUGUCAUUGCAUAGUCACCAUAAGUCACUGAGCAUCUCCUCUGCAGCACCAAAGACUAAAAAUGGGUAGGACUACCAUGUAGUGCUCAUCUUCUCUAAAGUGGACAGCUACAGCCAACCAAAACUCCCAGGCUCCCAUUAUGCUCCACAGAG